GCCAAGCAAGGAAGAGAGAGAAAGAAAGGAAGAACAAACCCUAGGUGAAGAAUUUCAAGAGAAAAAGUGUGGAAAAUCAAGGAAAAUAAGUGAAAAAGGUAGGAUUUUUCAAUUUAAGCUUGAAAUCUAUUUUCCUUAAGCAUUUCUCCUUAUUUUCCAUGCUUAAAUUACAUGUUUUCAUGAUGAAUUCAUGGCUGGUCAAAAUGGGUAAGGAGAGAGAAAGAUGUUGGAUUGAAUUGAUUUUAAGAUAUGUUAGUGUUAUUAGUUAGUUUAGCAUAUUUAAAAGCAAAACAACAAGAAAGGAAUCCAUUUUCCCCUAUGAAUCUUCAUGACUGAAUCUUCCUUGAUGUGUGUGGGUGAUGGAUUGUUAUUAUUUCAAUAGAAAUGGCUUAGAAAAUGAUGAAUAAUGGUGAAAAAAAUCAAGUAGGAAAAAUCACGAUGUUAGUGCACCACAAUGGCCAAAAUUUUCAAGAAGAAUUGUAAGGAUUGUUAGGCUGAAUUUUAGAUUAUUGGAAUUGUAUUUAGUGAAUUGAAAUAUUAGAAAUGAAAUGGAGCAAUUUGGAGCCAAAUCGGACACAAUUGUCAUUUAAUCGGGUAAUAGGCCGAAUUAGGUCAGCACCGCAUUUAAGCGGUAGUCGGAUAAGUUGCAUAUCAUAUCAUGCAUAUACACCGAGCCUNNNNNNNNNNNNNNNNNNNNNNNNNNNNNNNNNNNNNNNNNNNNNNNNNNNNNNNNNNNNNNNNNNNNNNNNNNNNNNNNNNNNNNNNNNNNNNNNNNNNNNNNNNNNNNNNNNNNNNNNNNNNNNNNNNNNNNNNNNNNNNNNNNNNNNNNNNNNNNNNNNNNNNNGAGCCUGAAUUGAUUUUAUAAUGGUCAAGCAUUAAUGUGGUGAAUUAUGUAUUGUACAUUAUGGAUAGGUGGUGAGCAAAUUACACUGGUAAAAGUACAGAGAUUGUGCUUGAAGACUGGGAUUAGGAGUACAUCGACUCCUAGAACUAUGAGUGGACAAUUUAUCAUCUUAAAUAUCUAGAGUAAUUAUACUUGUUUGAUGCUUUUAUUGAAUGGUGAGUUUAAAUUAUAAAAAAUUAUGUUUUCCAAUUAAAAUAUUUUUUUAUAAAAAAUGAGAUUUAUACUGGUUUUGCAAUCAAAUAUUGUUUUGGAAAAAUUGAGUAUAUGGAGACUGUGUUGAAAUUUAUGAUUCUAUAUGUUAUUGAAAUUGUGGCUUAUGACACUAUGGUAGCAUGAUGGCUAAAUUUUUGGGGUUGGCAUGAAAUAUAUGAACAAUUUUGGAUUGGUCUCGAUAGACUGGAUUACAUUUUAUUCGCCACAUUAUGCUAUUGAAAAUUUUAUGAGUCUGGUGGUAUAUUAAACGGUCACUACAUUGGUGGGGGUUUUCGUGGACUACCUAUGAGAGGGGCACGGUAACCCAAUUAUAUAUUUACCUCUAGGGGGAGAUGUUGGAUGAAGUAUCUCUUGAGGUAAGAUUUGAGUGCACCUCACGUUCAGGCCACCACGUAAGAGUGAGACUCAGCCAACGCCAAGGAACGGUUGUGUGUCAGAUGCGAAAACAUAUUUAUGGGUAUGGGACAUUUAACAGCCUUGGCGGUCUCAGUGGAAUACCUUAACGAAGGUACCCACGAGAACAAUUCUGGCAGGGGCCAAGUUUAAGAAACUUAUAAGCCAAGAAAAUUUUGACGAAAAGAAAUUGUUUGGUAUAAAUUGAAAUGAAUUUUGCGCUAUGAACAUUAUUGAAAUAUAACGUUUUUAUAUUGUCUCCAUCUACUCGGCUUUAAAUGCUUUUGAUGGUAAUUGUUUACUCACUGGGAUUAUAUAAUCUCACCCCUCUUCCUAUCUAUUUUUUUUUCAAGCUCAGGACAGUUUGUUGAUAGUUGAUUAAGACAAGAAUUAAUCUCGGAGUUGCAUGCUAGAAAGUAAGGGUUCAUAGCCCUACACUUCUUAGUUAGUUGGGGACUCACGUGUCACUGUAAAAGUAAUUUUAUACUUUAGUUAUCUGAUUUAAAGUAUGUAUGAAUAUAUUUAGCUUUUACACCAUGUUUUUAGCGGGUUUCGGUAUUUUCGAAGAAAAAUGACGAAAAUGCCCCUGUGUGACUGGAAAUAAUAUUUUAUUAUUUUGAUUUGGAAACGACUUAUGAUUUCUUGAAAUGCGAGAUUUAAUAACUGUCGCUCACCGGGGAGAUGCGAAAACUGAUGCUAAGCCUUGCAGGAUUUCAAUCGGCAUUCGGGGUAAUGAGUGCCUAUCGGGACGUCGCGACAGUUGUCACGGGCCCGAUGGGAGUUUCGGGUCAUGACAAUAUUUGACUUUGUUUUCUCUAAAUCAUGCCUGGGAACAAUGUCACGACCCGAAACUCCCAUCGGGCUCGUGACAAUCGUCGCGAUGUCUCAAUAGGCACUCAUUACCCCGAAUGUCGAUCGAAACCCCGCAAGGCUUAGCAUCAGCUUCCUCAUCUCCCUGGUGAGCGACAGUUAUUAAAUCUCACAUUUCAAAAAAUCAUAAGUUGUUUCCAAACCAAAAUAAUAAAAUAUUUUUUUUUUUAGCUCAUAGGGGCAUUUUCGUCAUUUUUUUUUCAAAAAUACCGCAACCCGCCAAAAACAUGGUGUAAAAGAUAAAUAUGUUCAUACAUACUUUAAAUCAGAUAACUGAAGUAUAAAAUUACUUUUACAGUGAUACGUGGACCCCCAACUGACCAAGAAGGUGUAAGGCUACGAACCUUUACUUUCUAGGAUGCAACUCCGAGAUUAAUUCUCGUCUUAAUCAACUAUCAACAAACUGUCUUGAGCCUGAAAAUUGGAUAGGAAGAGGGGUGAGAUUAUGAUUACAUAAUCCUAGUGAAUAAACAGACACCAUCUAAACUAUCUAAAGGCGAGUAAAGGGAGACAAUUAAAAAUAGUUCAUUUCAGCAAAUUUUUCACAACACGAAUAUUCAUUUCAACCAAAUAAUCAAUAUGGCUCGUGAAUUUCUCAAAACUUGGCUCCUGCCAAAAUCAUUCUCGCGAGUACCUUCGUCAAGGUAUCCCACUGAGACCGCCAAGGCUGUUAAAUGUCCCAUACCCAUAAACAUGUUUUCGUAUCUGACACACAGCCGUUCCUUGACGUUGGCUGAGUCUCACUCUCACGCGGUGGUUAAAGUGAAGUGCACUCAAAAAGCCCACCUCAAGAGAUACCCUACGCGCCUCUACGAUCGAGGUGAGAAUAUAAAGGAGUUUACCGUGCCCCUCUAAUAGGCUGGUCCACGGAACCCCCCACCACUGCAGUAACUAAUCUUUAAUCCACCAAUUGAUCAAAUCUCAAUGGCAUAGCAUGACAACUACAUUACUAACCAAUUUAUCAAGGCAAAACAGACGGCUCAUAUUUUUCAACACAGGUAUAAAUUCAGCCAAUCAUGCCAAUUUAUCACAAGCCAUUUAAUUCAAAUCAUAAUUUACAAUAAAUCACAUGGUCUCCAAUUACUCAAAUUUUCAAAGCCAUCAUUCAAUUUCAAGACAAUUUUAUGAAAUCAUUUUAUUAAAUCACAUUUUGUUUAUAAAACAUCAAGAUUUACCAUUUAAACUCAUUUUUCAUAAAAUCACAAAAUCUGAUAAAAACCACUUUAGAUAAUUCAGACGAUAAUAGGCUUACUCACAAUUCUAGGAGUAGAAAUACUCCUAUUUUCAGUCCGCGGGUACAGUCCUUUACCCGUAUCCAAUGGCUCACCACCUAGCCAUAAUCCAUGACACAUAUUCUAAUUAAAUUGGGUCUAACAGUCUUAAGCUAUUUCAGGCUCGAUAUAUAUAUAUGCAUGAUAUGAAAUGAAAAAUGCACGGGUAGCCAUCUAGACCCGGUAUUGGCCUAAGUCGAUUUUUCAUCCGAUAAAUUAGCCAAUGCGUCCAAUUUCACUCCAACUUGCUCCAUUUCUUUUCCAAUCCCUCAAUUCACCAAGCACAACUAAUUAACACACAAUUAGGCAAAUUUAUCUUCACUUUUCUUCUUGGAACUUUCGACCAACAAUGAUACACUAACUCCAUGAUUUUUCCUACUUAAUUUUCUCUCCAUAAUUCAUUAAUUCCUACACCAAAAACUGUUAUUUCUUAAUCAAAUCACCUAGAAUAACAUCCCAUUCUUCCUCAUUAUUCACUUAGAGAAUUCGGCUAUUGAUGGGCACCAAACCUUUGGUGGUUUUCUUCACUUGUUUUCAUGCUACACAUCAUUAAUCACCUAAAAACACUAACAUACCUAAAAAUCAAACCAAUCCAAGAUCAUUCUCUCUCCAUACCCAUUUUGACCAGCCAUGAAUUCAUCAUGAAAACAUGUAAUUUAACCAUGGAAAUUAAGGGAAAAUGCAUGGGUAAGGUAAAUCACUAGCAAAAUCAAAGAAAUUUUACCUUUGCUUGAUCAAACCCUUGAAUUCCAACACUUUCUCUUUGAUUUUUUCCACCUAGGGUUUGUUCUUCUUUGUUUUCUCUUCUCUUCUGGUUUGGCUGAUCACUAUGGGAGAAAUGGGCAGAUUUUUUGCCUUUUUAUAAAGAGAUAAUAAAAUAAUAAAAACAUGACACAUGGCAUUUUCUUAUUGGUUCAAAUUUUAAAUAUUUGACUUUUAAUUCUUUAAUUUUCCACCACACAUUUCUCAUGUUUAUUCAUUUCCAUGAUGAAUAAAAUCCCUUGGUAUUGACAAGUGUUGGGAGUGAAAAUUUACCGAUUUGCCCUCGGGGUGGCAAAAUUACCAUUUCGCCCCUAUACUCUAAAUUAUACCGAAAUUAAAAUUUUUCACUUCUAAACUUCAAAUCAUACUCCAAUACCCAAAUCAUACUCCAAAAAGUCAAAUGGGGCCAAAAAAAUCUUUUCUAAAAAUUUUCAUUUUGUCCCCAAGUGGCAAAUGACCAUUUUACCCUUAGAUAGUGAAAAUUUCGGUUUGACUCCAAAUUGAUCCUCGAACUCCGAAUUACCAUUUUGAGUCAUCCCUGAACUGUGAAACUCUUAAUUUCACCUUAAAAUUUCUAUUUGAACUAGUUCGAGGCUUAAUCGACUUAAUGGUACCAUUAGGGGCAAUAUCGUCUUUUAACGAUUCCUCGAACUUCCUAAAUAUGCAAACAUUCUAUUGAGCAUGUAAAUGACAUCGUAAUUAUUUUAUAGAACAGGGUUUGACAAACAAGCUCUUGAUGAAACGUUUUAUGUUGUAAAAUGUGUAAUGUGAUGAACCCAUGUGUUCCUAUAUUCUGAUGAUAUAUAUGUUAUGCUUUGCAUGAUAAUAUUGUGUGAUAAUUGUAACCACGCGUUUGCGGUGUGGGAGUGCACAUGUCGGUGAUGACAAGUGAUUCCAGCUAUGUGCGAUGUGGGAGUACACAUAAGCUGAUGACCGAUAGAUGAUGAUUCUAGCUAUGUGCGGUGUGGGAGUGCACAUGAGCUGAUGACCGAUGGAUGAUGAUUCCAGUUAUGUGUGGUGUGGGAGUGCACAUGAGCUAAUGAGCCAAUGGUUGUAUACAUGUUUACACAUACCAUAGAAAUGUUAGAGAAAAUAUUAUGUGAUUGCAAUGAAUGUUGAAUGUUGAAAUUGUUAAUUACUUCCAAAUUGAUUUUCAAUGCAACGAGAAACUCUCUGUCUUGCUUGUCUUGCUUGGAUAUUUGUUGUAGUUUUCACUUUUUUCAACUUCGCUAUUGAUCAUAAAUCCUUCACUCUAAGGGAUUAAAUAACCAAAGGCUGAAUUAAGGGGCUUUACAAGAAAUUAAGCUAAAUUGCAUUGUUUUUAACAUAAGUGCAUCAUGUUUUCUACAACUUUUCGUAUCGUUUACUUGUUCCCUUCCGAUGUUCACUCACCAAGUUUAUACUCACUCUUUUAAACUUCAAAUUUUCAGAGUCGGAGGUAGUUGGGACCUAGAUUGAGGUGUCCACAUAUAUUCGUCUUUUUGAUAGGUACCAUGGCAUUCAAUAGUUGUACCUUCACCCAAAGUCACUCCGCUGAUAAUCAAGAGUCUUUUGCCUAUGUAUGCAUACGCAUAAUGUAAAUCACUAAGAUUCAUAGUAUAAACAAUAUAUGUAUAUUUUGAUUGAUGAUGCCACUAUAAGUUGACAAUGGG
rnacentral:lncRNA from 1 species